rnacentral:tRNA from 1 species
GCAUCCGUAGCUCAGCUGGAUAGAGUACUCGGCUACGAACCGAGCGGUCGGAGGUUCCAAUCCUCCCGGAUGCACCA